rnacentral:rRNA from 1 species
CUUGAAACACGGACCAAGGAGUUUAUCGUGUACGCAAGUCAUUGGGUGAAUAAAACCCAAAGGCGUAAUGAAAGUAAAUAGUAGUGUUUUAAUUAGGAAAAAAUUUGGGAAAGCAAUUUCUUUAAAUUUUAUUUCUAUAUUACACUCUACUUUAGGGAAGAUGGAAAUCUCCCAUAUAUUUCUAAUAUAUGGUAAAGAUUUCUCGCAUUCCCGGGGCGCUUGUUUCACGCUUUGCGUGUCAAUGCGCACCUAGAGCGUACACGCUGAUACCCGAAAGAUGGUGAACUAUGCCUGGCCAGGACGAAGCCAGGGGAAACCCUGGUGGAGGUCCGCAGCGAUUCUGACGUGCAAAUCGAUCGUCGGAGCUGGGUAUAGGGGCGAAAGACCAAUCGAACCAUCUAGUAGCUGGUUCCCUCUGAAGUUUCCCUCAGGAUA